rnacentral:rRNA from 1 species
CAUAGCGACUAUCGUGGCAUAUCAAUAAGCGGAGGAAAAGAAACUAACAAGGAUUCCCCUAGUAACGGCGAGUGAAGCGGGAAGAGCUCAAAUUUGAAAUCUUCAAGGGUUUCCCUUGACGAAUUGUAGUUUAAAGAAGUGUUUUCUGUUAGAGAGGUGGUAAAAGUUCUUUGGAAUAGGACAUCAUAGAGGGUGAGAAUCCCGUAUUUGAUCACUUUCUACUAACGUUGUGAUACACUUUCAAAGAGUCGGAUUGUUUGGGAGUGCAGUCCAAAAUGGGUGGUAAAUUUCAUCUAAAGCUAAAUAUUGGCGAGAGACCGAUAGCGAACAAGUACCGUGAGGGAAAGAUGAAAAGAACUUUGAAAAGAGAGUUAAACAGUACGUGAAAUUGUCAAAAGGGAAGCGUUUGACACCAGUGUUGUUUUUCCGAAAAUCAAUUAUGAAUGGCUUGAUUUUAAGUUUCAUGACCUUAAAAGCUUGUUUCUUAUUUUUCAUGUCUUUCGUAAUGCACUUUUCGGUUAACAAGUCAACAUCAAUUUCUUUUGUUGUAAAAGGGUAAUGAGGAAGGUGGCUUUACUUUCGGAGUAAAGUGUUUAUAGCCUUGCUACCUCUGCAAUCGGAGAGAUUGAGGUCUGCAGCGUAGAUCCUUCGGGGUUAGAUACAUUUGUGCUAAGUUAUAGCUUUUCAUAGACAACUUGUUGACUAUGUUUAGUCUUGUAGCUUACUCGCUUACUGCUAUUUUACCUACGCUUAGGAUGUUGACGCGCGUGUGUGCGUG